CAAUAGCGUAUAUUAAAGUUGUUGCGGUUAAAAAGCUCGUAGUUGGAUUUCUGCUGAGAACGACCGGUCCGCCCUCUGGGUGUGUAUCUGGCUCUUUCUUGGCAUCUUCUUGGUGAACGUUGCUGCACUUGACUGUGUGGAGCGCUACCCAGGACUUUUACUUUGAGGAAAUUAGAGUGUUUCAAGCAGGCAUACGCCUUGAAUACAUUAGCAUGGAAUAAUAAGAUAGGACCUCAGUUCUAUUUUGUUGGUUUCUAGAGCUGAGGUAAUGGUCGAUAGGGAUAGUUGGGGGCAUUCGUAUUUAACUGUCAGAGGUGAAAUUCUUGGAUUUGUUAAAGACGGACUACUGCGAAANCANNNGCCAAGGAUGUUUUCAUNGA
rnacentral:rRNA from 1 species